CCAGCGCCGCCCGCCCCCGCUUCCUCCUCCGCGGCACCUGCGGCCGCUCUGGCGUGCCCGCACACCGGCUCGGAUCGGCGCGAUGGAGCCCUACUUGAGUCAUAUCCAGUUGUGUUGUGAUUCCACUGGAGCCAAAUCACACCACUGCAUUAAUGACUUUGGAGUGGAUUAUCUCGCACUGGCAUGUAACUAAUGAUCAUCCAGGCCAUCCAAAUGGGCAAAUGUUGCAGAGACUUAUUAAAAAAGGGCAAAAUUUAAUUUCAUGUAAAUGGAGUACACCUGGAAAUUGUAUUUCUAAUGUGUAGAUAAAUGCAAAGAGAGCACUUCCUUUUAUUUACCUUCCUACAGCCCUCCCUCGUCCUGGCCUCAGGGGCAGGGUGGAAAAGGCUCUGUUUUCUCAUUCUGCUUUGGAUGUGGCAUUGGCUGCUACAGCCAUGUCCUUGCAAACAUAUGCUGCUUCCAACAAGAAAAAUGUAUUAAGUACAAGCGGGUUGACUGGGGUCCUCGAGAAGAUGGCUUAGUUUAAGCGGUACUCUGAAAACACAGUUCUCUUUGCAGAACUUCUGCAUGACAAAUUGCCUUCAGUUGAGUGCUCACCAUUGCAUGAUCUGCUGUACUCUAGUCUGAACUUCAUUUUCACAAAUGGUCUGUUACCAUUACAGAAAUAUUUCAUGAGCUGAGUGAAGCAGCACACAGCAAGACCCCAGUUCCACAGCAGUACACAAUCAGAUAUAACUUAGUUUAUGCUAGUGGAUGAUGGUCUUUCUUAUUUGUCUAUGGGAGGUAUAGAUUCACUUGAAGGGAGAAGAGUGUCCCCUGCAUUAUCCAUCCCUUUCUACAUCUAACCAUUUGGACUUCUAGAGCAGAAAUUAUGGUAAAUACUUUUUUUUAAUGUUUCAAGUAAGUUAAGAUGUGCUUGAGUCUGAACAUUUGGUGUUAUCUCCAGAAGAGGAUCUUGGACUGAAGAGGUCUCUCCCUUCCUUAGCAUCCUCACAGGAUCCCUGCCUGUUUUAGGAGGGGCAUGGAGAUAGCCACCCUUCAUAUAGUGACCUCUGUGCCUUGGGAGCCAGGAAUGUCUGCAUGGAGGUACUGUGCCUUGACACAGCUGUAGCCUUGCAUAGGCAGUGUGGGGGAGAAAGGGUCUGUGGUGCAUUCUGUGAGCAAUGUGUGGCUUUGGCCACACAUGAGUACUCAAGCCCAGAUAGAUCUAUACAAGAGAAGCAGAAUAAAACAGUUUCGAUUGUGAAUAGGCACUCCUGUGAGAAAAGCAACCCUUCUCUACUGAUAAUGGAAGGGUAAAGCAUCCAGGGGAGCCUGAAGUUCAGUAAGGGUGCCGAAGCUUGCAGGGAGUGUGAGAUGGCUUUUUUAGUACUGAGACCUUUCAUCAUCUGCCUGAGAAAUGCAUAAGCAUUGCUUUGUUUCUGUGUGUCGCUCUGAGUCUCUUUCAGUUCUUGCUGCAUCUGUUUGAGUGGAACUUCUUCAGCUACCAAGAGAUCAGGCAGCCAAAGGUGCAAGGUGGGUGAAAAAAUGGGAGCACAGGAUGGCAUUGAGAUAGAGAGCUGGCACUGCCACAUUGUUCUUAAAGGUCCUGUAGCCAAGAGCAGUCUCAGAGAGUGCUCCCCUUGCUCACGUAACCUGCUGCUACUGGUCUGUCAGCUGUUACUCACAUUACUAUGUAUCUGCUAUGAUGUUAUUAAUUGUGCACUAUAAAUACACAUGAUGUGCAGAGCACAGGGCUAAUGUUUCCAAAAGCUUUUAGGCAUUAUCCAGGGCUAACAUCCAGACUGUUUGAGGGACCAGAGAAAAGCAUUCAGAAAAUUUAUUUCUAGCUGUGGCUUCUGCAUAACUGAGCAGGCAGAUUCAGUGGGCUUCACCAGAUAGGAAAUUUUUUGUCACAGGUGUCAUCAUUUGGGAUGAGAGGACCUGCUGUCUUUGUGGGGUAUUCUACAAAUGAUCUGUUCAUACGUGCAGGGAACUGUAAAGAGUCAAGUGGUACUUGGUAUUGAAUUUUAUAAAUAACAGUUUUAUAGUUGCUUAUUCUUUUAGACAGUUCCUCACAUCUCCAUUUUGUUCCAUGCACUAUUACUGGCAAACAUUUUUGAAUAUUUGGUGAUGCCCCUUUGAAAAAAAAGCUGGAAAAGAUUGCCAAGAAGCUUUGUGAAUCAGCCAGGCAUUGCCUUUGCCUUGGAAAGUGACCCUAGUAAGUGAAAAUGGCAUCACGUUAACUUACCUUGUGGGAAUUCUGAUGGGUAUAAGGACCUAGAGACUUUACAACAUCAAUUCACCUGAAAAUGCCUUUGGACUUAGAAUAGGCCUGGAUUCUUUGGGAUAGUUGGCUGUUUUUAUUGUGGAGUGUAAAAUCAAAAGAGAAAAUAAAGGACAUGAAGGGGCCUUCUGGAGUCGA